AGUGAACGCUGGCGGCGUGCUUAACACAUGCAAGUCGAACGAGAACGGAAUAUAGCUUGCUAUAUUUGUCAGCUAAGUGGCGCACGGGUGAGUAAUGUAUAGAUAACCUGCCCUUAAGAAAGGAAUAACAGUUGGAAACGACUGCUAAUGCCCUAUAUGCCUUUAAUACAUAAGUAUGCAAGGGAAACGCUUUAGUGCUUAAGGAUGGGUCUGUAUGGUAUCAGCUUGUUGGUGAGGUAAUGGCUCACCAAGGCUAUGACGCCUAACUGGUUUGAGAGGAUGAUCAGUCACACUGGAACUGAGACACGGUCCAGACUCCUACGGGAGGCAGCAGUGGGGAAUAUUGCACAAUGGACGAAAGUCUGAUGCAGCAACGCCGCGUGGAGGAUGACACAUUUCGGUGCGUAAACUCCUUUUAUAUAGGAAGAUAAUGACGGUACUAUAUGAAUAAGCACCGGCUAACUCCGUGCCAGUAGCCGCCGCGG
rnacentral:rRNA from 1 species